rnacentral:lncRNA from 1 species
UUGCUCUUUAAAUGUGAAUAUAUAAAACUCGUUUUGAUGUGCUUUUCAAAAUGAUUGAAAGCGCUUUUAGAACAAAUGUUUCUAGGUUUUAGAAUCACUUAAAGUGGUUUUCUGCAUUCAAGUGCUUUUCUAGAAUGACCUUAGAAGUCCGGUCAUAAACUCGACUGCUUCGUUACUCUGUAUCGAAGCAAUUGGCGAAGUUUGUGCGACUUCACUAGACCAACCAUCCUUGUUCUGCAAGACAUAGGAUUUGAUCCGGGUAUGGAAUCAGUCAAAUCUUGAUAUGCCUUAGAGUUCUUACAAACUAUGAAUUGGUGUACGCCGCAAGUAAUCACAACUCCUAAGAGGGUGCAAUAUGUACUUCUAGAUAUCCUAUAAGAUUCUCGCAACAAGGAUUCUAUCCUCAAAAAGAUCUCUCCCAACCGUUAUAAAUACACUCAUCUAGGGUUCGUCUCUGGCAACGCAAUCUACACUCUAAUUCUCUUGCCUACUACUUAAGCCUUAUACUUGCUUACUAACUUGAACGUCAGAGUGUGUUUGUACUUGCUCACAGUUGUUUUCUAUUUACAGGUUACUCGGAUUUGAGCAUCUCCACCACUUGCGGCAGUGCGCGAAUUUGGUUCCGACGGAGAAGAAGAGAUGUUAUUACAUGAUCAUGAUAAGAGAAACUUGUCGGAGAAGAAAUUUAGGCAGAGUUGUUGAUAUAGUUGAUGAGAUGAGGCAAGCGGGUUGUGAACCAGACGUCAAAACUUACAAUUAUCUACGUGGUAGCUUAUGCAAGAACUAUAAGUUUGCUGAAGCUACAAAACCAUAUGAACAACUGCCAGAAAGGAAUUGUCAACCUGAUGGCAUAACCUUUGAAAUAUUGAUGUAGCUGUUAAAUACAGUUGCUCUAGCACUUCAGUUCACAGCUUGCUCGCAAGAUAUUGUAAACUCAAGCUAAAAUGGCGGGUCUUUUGCCAUGAUGGUGGCAAUUUGCGAAGGGAAACAUGUCCACAAUUCGUGUCUUGCGGCGCAAACAUAUCUUCAACGCGUUACAUAGAGCCACUAAUUUUACACUUAAGACUUGCUUCUCCAGAAGCUUGAAGGGCACUCGCAGUUUCUGUUCCCUUUUCUUUUAUGUAUACACAUUCUUUAAAUUACAAAUCAACUAAUCUAAUUUCGGGAUCUCAUCUGACGUUAGCCUCCAAAAUAUUUGUUAGACAUAGAAAUUAUAUUCUUAUCCAGUAACUGUUUCAGGUGCAUAUUAUGAUAUGAGGCUAAUGUAUCAGGCAUUUCAGAAGGGCUUACAUUAUUC